UACAGAGGGAGCAAGCGUUGUUCGGAAUUACUGGGCGUAAAGGGCGCGUAGGCGGUUCGAUAAGUCCCGUGUGAAAUCCCUCGGCUCAACUGAGGAAUUGCACGGGAAACUGACGGGCUUGAGUUCGGGAGAGGGAAGCGGAAUUCCGGGUGUAGCGGUGAAAUGCGUAGAUAUGCGGAGGAACACCGAUGGCGAAGGCAAUCCCCUGGGCCUGCACUGACGCUCAUGCACGAAAGCGUGGGGAGCAAACAGG
rnacentral:rRNA from 1 species